GCUUCGGUGGUUCAGUGGUAGAAUUCUCGCCUUCCACGCGGGGGACCCGUGUUCAAUUCCCGGCUGAUGCA
rnacentral:tRNA from 1 species